GCCGUGUUUUGGGCCGGUUCUGGAGUGGCUGGCGGCGGGGCCUGGGUGUCCGCCCAGUGCCCGAGGACGCAGGCUUUGGCACCGAAGCCCGGCAUCAGAGGCAACCCCGCGGCUCCUGCCAACGGUCGGGGCCCCUCGGGGACCAGCCCUUCGCGGGGCUGCUGCCAAAAAACCUCAGUCGGGAGGAGCUGGUUGAUGCGCUGCGGGCAGCCGUGGUGGACCGGAAAGGACCUCUAGUGACGUUGAACAAGCCACAGGGUCUACCAGUGACAGGAAAACCAGGAGAGCUGACGUUGUUCUCAGUGCUGCCAGAGCUGAGCCAGUCCCUAGGGCUCAGGGAGCAGGAGCUUCAGGUUGUCCGAGCAUCUGGGAAGCAAAGCAUGACACCUCCCUGACGCUGGGCACAGUGACUCACACCUGUAAUCCCAACACUUCUGGAGGCCAAGGCAAGAGGAUCACUUGAGCCCAGGAGUUCGAGACCAGCCUGGGCAAAAUAGACCCCAUCUCUGGAAAAACAACAACAAAACUUUCCGCGUGGUG
rnacentral:lncRNA from 1 species